UAUGAUGAAAAAAAAACAAAAUAACUAAAUACAAGUUUGUAGAAAACCAAAGGUCAUUUCUUUUACCUUGUUAUUAUUUUUGUUGACCCUGAGGAGGCAAAUCUU
rnacentral:snoRNA from 1 species